rnacentral:misc_RNA from 1 species
AUAUUUCCUUUAGUUUCAACUUCCAUGCCAUACAUAUACAUUAUAUUUCCUUACAUAUCUAUUCCUUAGUUUCUACUUCCUGGCUAUACAUAUUCUCUAUAUUUCCUUACGUAUAUUUUCCUUAGUUUCAACUACCAUGCUAUACAUUUCUUUUAUAUUUCCUUACAUAUAUUUUCUUUGGUUUCUACUACUAUUCUAUACAUUUACUUUAUGUUUACUUACACAUAUUUUCCUUAUUUUCAACUCCCAUGCUAUACAUAUACUUUAUA